rnacentral:rRNA from 1 species
UACGAAGGGGGCUAGCGUUGUUCGGAAUUACUGGGCGUAAAGGGCGCGUAGGCGGCUUGAUAAGUCGGGGGUGAAAGCCUGUGGCUCAACCACAGAAUUGCCUUCGAUACUGUCGGGCUUGAGACCGGAAGAGGUCAGUGGAACUGCGAGUGUAGAGGUGAAAUUCGUAGAUAUUCGCAAGAACACCAGUGGCGAAGGCGGCUGACUGGUCCGGUUCUGACGCUGAGGCGCGAAAGCGUGGGGAGCAAACAGG